rnacentral:rRNA from 1 species
AAGGUAGCGAAAUUCCUUGUCGGGUAAGUUCCGACCUGCACGAAUGGCGUAACGAUCUCCACACUGUCUCGGCCAGAAGCUCGGUGAAAUUGAAGUCGCGGUGAAAAUGCCGUGUACCCGCAGAAAGACGGAAAGACCCUGUGCACCUUUACUAUAGCUUGACAUUGGAUUUUGGCCCUACAUGUGUAGGAUAGGUGGGAGCCUGUGAACCCUGUACGCCAGUAUGGGGGGAGGCACUGUUGAAAUACCACCCUUGUAUGUCUAAGAUCCUAACUCCAAACAGUUAUCCUGUUGGAAGACAGUGUCUGGUGGGUAGUUUGACUGGGGCGGUCGCCUCCUAAACUGUAACGGAGGCACGCAAAGGUUCCCUCAGGCUGUUCGGAAACCAGCCGUCGAGUGCAAACGCAUAAGGGAGCUUGACUGCAAGAGAGACAUUUCGAGCAGAAACGAAAGUUGGCGUUAGUGAUCCGGUGGUCCCGUAUGGAAGGGCCAUCGCUCAUUGGAUAAAAGGUACGCCGGGGAUAACAGGCUGAUCGCAUCCAAGAGUUCAUAUCGACGAUGCGGUUUGGCACCUCGAUGUCGGCUCAUCACAUCCUGGGGCUGAAGCAGGUCCCAAGGGUACGGCUGUUCGCCGUUUAAAGUGGUACGCGAGCUGGGUUUAAAACGUCGUGAGACAGUUUGGUCCCUAUCUUCUGUGGGCGAAGGAAUAUUGAAAGGGCCUGUCCCUAGUACGAGAGGACCGGGAUGGACAUACCACUGGUGAACCUGUUGUUCUGCCAAGAGCAUAGCAGGGUAGCUAUGUAUGGAAGGGAUAACCGCUGAAAGCAUCUAAGCGGGAAGCCUGCCUUAAGAUAAGUAUUCCCUGUCGCAAGACCUGAAGGGCCCGGAUAGACGAUCCGGUUGAUAGGUUGGAGGUGUAAGCGUCGCGAGACGCUCAGCUGACCAAUACUAAUAGCCCGUGAGGCUUGUUUUU